rnacentral:lncRNA from 1 species
UCUGGAAGGCUGUGGUGCAAGGCCGUUUUUGCUGGCUACAGGCAAGGUUUCCAGAACCAAAGAGAACAUAGGGCUCUUUUUAAAACUGAAGAUAUUUAUGCCUGGGAUGAAAGUGUGUUCUAUUUAGACAAAAGAUGUGCUUAUGUAUAUAAAGCAAAAAACAAUACAGUGACUCCUGGAGGCAAACCAAACAAACCCAGAGUGAUCUGGGAAAAGUAACUCGGGCCCACGGAAACAGUGGUAUGGUUCGUGCCAAAUUCCAAAGCAACCUUCCUGAAAAGGUCGCUGGACACAGAAUCAGUGGGAUGCUGUACCCGUCUCUGAUUUAA